ensembl:ncRNA mir-9380 mir-9380 stem loop
GCUCCUGCUGCAUCUGUUGGCGAUAGCGCUCGUCACUCUUGGCCGUGUACUCCGCCUCCAACAGAUCCAGCAGCAGA